rnacentral:rRNA from 1 species
UGGGGAAUAUUGCACAAUGGGCGCAAGCCUGAUGCAGCCAUGCCGCGUGUAUGAAGAAGGCCUUCGGGUUGUAAAGUACUUUCAGUCGGGAGGAAGGUGGUAAGGUUAAUAACCUUAUCAAUUGACGUUACCGACAGAAGAAGCACCGGCUAACUCCGUGCCAGCAGCCGCGGUAAUACGGAGGGUGCAAGCGUUAAUCGGAUUUACUGGGCGUAAAGCGCACGCAGGCGGUUGAUUGAGUCAGAUGUGAAAUCCCCGGGCUUAACCCGGGAAUUGCAUCUGAUACUGGUCAGCUAGAGUCUUGUAGAGGGGGGUAGAAUUCCAGGUGUAGCGGUGAAAUGCGUAGAGAUCUGGAGGAAUACCGGUGGCGAAGGCGGCCCCCUGGACAAAGACUGACGCUCAGGUGCGAAAGCGUGGGGAGCAAACAGG